AGCUAGCCUCUAGCCCAACCACAUCAAUAAACAACAGCCAAAACCCACCUCUACUUACAAACUAAAACAUUCUCCUAACUUAGUAUAGGUGAUAGAAAAGUUUACUCCCGGCGCAUUAGAGACUUUGUACCGUAAGGGAAAGAUGAAAUAAUAAUGAAAACCUAAGCAAYAGACAGCAAAGAUAAACYCUUGUACCUCUUGCAUCAUGAUUUAGCAAGAACAACCAAGCAAAACGAAUUGAAGCUUGCCCUCCCGAAACCUAAGCGAGCUACUUGUAGGCAGCUACAUCCGAGCGAACCCGUCUCUGUUGCAAAAGAGUGGGAUGACCUACUAGUAGAGGUGAAAAGCCAAUCGAGCUAGGUGAUAGCUGGUUGCCUGUGAAACGAAUCUAAGUUCACCCUUAAUCCCAACUCCAAGGACCACCAACCAACCCCCACGUAAUGGAUUAAGAGCAAUUCAAAGGAGGUACAGCCCCUUUGAAGCAGAACACAAUCUCCUGUAGCGGAUAAUAUACCCUAACCCUACCCCAACUUGUAGGCCUUUAAGCAGCCACCAACAAAGAAUGCGUCAAAGCUCCUUUCCCCUAAAAAUANNAAAACAGCAUGACUCCCUCCACACUAACAGGCCAACCUAUCACAAUAGGAGAACCAAUGCUAGAAUGAGUAACUAGGAUUAUCUCCUCUAAAGCGCAAACUUACAUCACUACAUUAUUAACAGCACCUAAUUAAUACUACAACCUCAACAAGCCCGCACAUUAAAACCACUCUGUUAGCCCAACCCAGGAGCGCCCACUAGAAAGACUAAAAUCUGUAAAAGGAACUAGGCAAACCCAAGACCCGACUGUUUACCAAAAACAUAGCCUUCAGCAAGCCCAGUAUUGAAGGUGAUGCCUGCCCAGUGACUAUAGUUUAACGGCCGCGGUAUCCUAACCGUGCGAAGGUAGCGCAAUCAAUUGUCCCAUAAAUCGGGACCUGUAUGAAAGGCUAAACGAGGCCUUAACUGUCUCUCACAGAUAGUCAGUGAAAUUGAUCUCCCUGUGCAAAAGCAGGAAUAAAUACAUAAGACGAGAAGACCCUGUGGAACUUAAAAAUCAGCAGCCACCACGAAUAAAUACCCCCCUACCAGGCCCACAGCCACAAACCAAAGUACUGGCUCACAUUUUUCGGUUGGGGCGACCUUGGAGAAUAAAAAAUCCUCCAAAAACAAGACCACACCUCUUAACCAAGAGCAACCACUCAAAGUACUAACAGUAACCAGACCCAAUAAAAAUUGACCAAUGGACCAAGCUACCCCAGGGAUAACAGCGCAAUCUCUCCUAAGAGCCCCUAUCGACGGAGAGGUUUACGACCUCGAUGUUGGAUCAGGACAUCCUAAUGGUGCAGUCGCUAUUAAGGGUUCGUUUGUUCAACGAUUAAUAGUCCUACGUGAUCUGAGUUCAGACCGGAGCAAUCCAGGUCGGUUUCUAUCUAUGCUACACUUUCCCUAGUACGAAAGGACCGGAAAAGUAAGGCCAAUGCUACAUGCACGCCUUCUCCUUAAAUAAUGCCCCCAACUAAAUUAUAAAAGGAACACCACAUGAUNUCUCAAGCCCCAGAAAAGGGCC
rnacentral:rRNA from 1 species